rnacentral:rRNA from 1 species
AAUAAACGUUGGCGGCGUGCCUAACACAUGCAAGUCGAACGAGAAAGUUCCUUCGGGAACAAGUACAGUGGCGAACGGUUGAGUAACACGUGAGAAUCUCCCCUUUAGUGAAGAAUACCUUCGAGAAAUCGAAGUUAAUGCUGCAUAUAUCUCGAAAGAGAGAAAGAUGGCCUCUUUGCUGUCGCUAAAGGAUGAGCUUGCGGCCUAUCAGCUAGUUGGUGAGGUAAUGGCUCACCAAGGCGACGACGGGUAGCCGGCCUGAGAGGGCGAUCGGCCAGACUGGAACUUAGACACGGUCCAGACUCCUACGGGAGGCAGCAGUGGGGAAUAUUGCGCAAUGGGCGAAAGCCUGACGCAGCGACGCCGCGUGAAGGAUGAAGGUCUUCGGAUUGUAAACUUCCGUUAAGUGGGAAGAAAUGUCCAUGAGUAAUAUGCAUGGAAGAUGACGGUACCAUUAGAGAAAGCAACCGGCUAAUCUCGUGCCAGC